rnacentral:rRNA from 1 species
UGGGGAAUAUUGCACAAUGGGCGCAAGCCUGAUGCAGCCAUGCCGCGUGUGUGAAGAAGGCCUUCGGGUUGUAAAGCACUUUCAGCGAGGAGGAAGGCAUUAAGGUUAAUAACCUUAGUGAUUGACGUUACUCGCAGAAGAAGCACCGGCUAACUCCGUGCCAGCAGCCGCGGUAAUACGGAGGGUGCAAGCGUUAAUCGGAAUUACUGGGCGUAAAGCGCACGCAGGCGGUUUGUUAAGUCAGAUGUGAAAUCCCCGAGCUUAACUUGGGAGCUGCAUUUGAAACUGGCAAGCUAGAGUCUUGUAGAGGGGGGUAGAAUUCCAGGUGUAGCGGUGAAAUGCGUAGAGAUCUGGAGGAAUACCGGUGGCGAAGGCGGCCCCCUGGACAAAGACUGACGCUCAGGUGCGAAAGCGUGGGGCAGCAAACAGGAUUAGAUACCCUGGUAGUCCACGCUGUAAACGAUGUCGACUUUGGAGGUUGUG